rnacentral:misc_RNA from 1 species
UAUAUAUAUAUACACACACACCAUUUGUACAGUUAAAUCUCGAAAAUUUUUCUCCAUUAUUUUUCAGUGUAGGACUUUUUUAAGGUACCAUAAGAUCAAAAACCUAGGAGGACGAAAGCCAAAUUUCCAGAAAGAUCAGAUCAAUCUGUUUCAGCUCCUUUCCUUGUUCCCAAGAGACCUGAAUUCCUGGAGAAACACAAGGCGAAUGCCUGUUGAUCUGAAUCACCAUGUUUUUUCUAGGUGCAUCUUCUUGGAUAUAAUUAUGUUCUCUGGUUUUCUAUAAACAGCUCAAUCCUUUAGUUUCUGAUCCUUUCAUAAUUCUCAGCCUCUUGA